GUCAAACCAGACCACAGGAAGCGGGCCGUUCCACUUUUGCAAACUGCGCUGGAGCUCACUUUUCUAAACCCCUCAACCAUAUCAGGUCAUCGUGAGGAUGCUCCUGGAGGGCCUGUGGUUGAGACGGUGUUAAUGACCAUCCAGUUCUUCCCGUGUCGCCUCAGUAUCACGAGCCAACAUGCAAUGCUCCUCAUGAGGAGGAACCAUCUGGACUUCAAGCUCCUGACACUCUGGACCAGGACACGCUGGACGCCUACAU